rnacentral:rRNA from 1 species
UGGGGAAUAUUGGACAAUGGGGGCAACCCUGAUCCAGCCAUGCCGCGUGAGUGAUGAAGGCCUUCGGGUUGUAAAGCUCUUUUGGCGGGGACGAUGAUGACGGUACCCGCAGAAUAAGCCCCGGCUAACUACGUGCCAGCAGCCGCGGUAAUACGUAGGGUGCAAGCGUUAAUCGGAAUUACUGGGCGUAAAGCGUGCGCAGGCGGUUUUGUAAGUCUGUCGUGAAAUCCCCGGGCUCAACCUGGGAAUUGCGAUGGAGACUGCAAGGCUAGAAUCUGGCAGAGGGGGGUAGAAUUCCACGUGUAGCAGUGAAAUGCGUAGAUAUGUGGAGGAACACCGAUGGCGAAGGCAGCCCCCUGGGCUAAGAUUGACGCUCAUGCACGAAAGCGUGGGGAGCAAACAGGAUUAGAUACCCUGGUAGUCCACGCCCUAAACGAUGUCUACUAGUUGUCGGGUCUUAAUUGACUUGGUAACGCAGCUAACGCGUGAAGUAGACCGCCUGGGGAGUACGGUCGCAAGAUUA